UAAAUGUUAAUUCCGAUCCUACCCAGCAGGCCAGAAUUCGGUAGCUGGUGCUGAGAGAAAAACUCUUGAUUGUAUUCUUGCCCUGGGACUGUGUCAGUGGCAACUAUCAUUCAAUGGGGUUAGA
rnacentral:snoRNA from 1 species